GAACUAACUAACUCUUUGCCAAAUGGAAGAGAAAACGCCUCUGUACAAUUCUAUGUGGUUGUAGCCAUGCAUAACAAAAUAUCUCCACGAUAGACGUGUUCCUGUAUAAUAAAAUAAACAUCGUAGCUCCAUGGUAGAACAUAUUUAUAGUUUGAUCCAAGGCAUCUCCCGUAGGCUCAAUCCGCUCCGACGAGGGUAUAGGCUGAGGCUGAAAGGAUACCGGUCCUCAACGUAACAAAUUGGUUUAAAACACCUUAGAUCGGUGUUUGGAAACAGCAUGGUUUCACUCAAUAAUUAUAAAUGUUGGGAUGGGGCUCUCUUACAGCGAUUUUAAGUACGUCAAAAUAAAGAUCGUAUCUUAAAUAAAUAUUUAUUAUCUAAAGUAAUAUUAUAAUAGGGUAAAUUUUGUGUAUCUCCAUAAUCGGAGAUUACCAACUAAAACUAAAUUUCUAUUAAUUCGAUAUUAACAUUUUUUACGGUUGCAUAGUAAAU